GCCGAUGUAGCUCAGCUGGUAGAGCAACGCAUUCGUAAUGCGUGGGUCGUAGGUUCGAGUCCUAUCAUCGGCA
rnacentral:tRNA from 1 species